rnacentral:rRNA from 1 species
UACGUAGGGGGCGAGCGUUGUCCGGAAUCAUUGGGCGUAAAGAGCGUGUAGGCGGGCCGGAAGGUCUGGUGUGAAAGCCCGGGGCUCAACCCCGGAGGGUCGCUGGAAACCAACGGCCUUGAGUCCGGAAGAGGAGAGUGGAAUUCCUGGUGUAGCGGUGGAAUGCGCAGAUAUCAGGAGGAACACCAAUGGCGAAGGCAGCUCUCUGGUACGUGACUGACGCUGAGACGCGAAAGCGUGGGUAGCAAACAGG